AGCUGCGACCAACUCGUGUCGCGUUUCCUGAUUUCUAUCGUCGCGCCCAAUUUACGAGACAGUAGGAAAAAAUGAGCAAGAGAAACGAGUCAUUUCUAUGGGGACGUAUUGACGUUACCUUAGCUCGGACGUCUGCACGUAAACGUAGCGAUUACAAUCGGAAAUCUUUAAAGGAGGUUAUCGGGAUUAAACCAGCUUUCGGGAUACCUUCGGAGGUGUUCUCGGAGAUAGAUUUGUCCUUCUGAUAAAUUGAAAAUGAUAAAGGAGACCUGUUAGAUUGAGAGCUUUCCUGUGAUGGUGUAAAAGAUUUUUAAACACUCUAUUACCGGUCGUCCGUGCUGCUUUAUCGGAUUUAAUGGUGAUCUGGUACCGAGAUUUUUACAAGUGUCAUAGAUUCCAUCCAAUGUGUGACUAUCAAAGCGUUAAAGAUUAAAUCCUGCAAAAAUGAAUAAAUUAUUUAACAAGAAAGAAUUAAAGCAGAAGAUGGAAACUCAUUUCUCGAACAAUGAAUAUUUUAUAUUUUGUAAAUAACCUUAAGCCUUCGGUGGAACUAAAAUAGAAUGCUAACGAAGAGGUUGUACUUGCAAGUUUUCCCGUAUUUGCACGAGCAAUUGAAGUACGUACUCGAUAUAAAUCGACUAUACCUUUUUUUCUUUAUUUAUUUUCUCGUUUAGCCGCGUACUGCAUAAGCGUUUCCUUUGAAAUGUAAUCUGCAAACACAUACCCGUUCUGCGAUUAGAGGAAAGAUAUUUCUCAGUAGAGUCUUUGUGCGGCGCGGCGUUACGGAACACGCAAUUGGACGUGUGGUUAAUGAGCAUGUAAAUUCAAAUGACUUUGCGAUAAGCAAUGGUAUCAUCACUUUCUGAGUCUUCACUGAUCAUAUAAUUAACCCUUUGCCUUAUGAUUCUUGUGAUGAUUGAAUUUGAUAAAAUUACAUAGAUACCUAUUAAUGGCUCAAAUUUUAGAAAAAUUGUUACAAUUUCUGAUGCUGAAAUAAGUACCAUACAAGAAAUAUCUAUAAUUUUUAAGGAUGACUUUAUGCUAUGUGUAUGUACAUAAAGGAGAUGAAGAGUUUUUGAAAUUCAAAAUCUUCAAAACCUUAUAACUUUCCCAUAAUUUCUGGGAAAAAUGACUAUUAUAUUUCUGUAAUCUUAAAAAAAUCUUUUAUUCCUGAUGAUCAGCGUUAUCGAUUACAUAUAAGCCGUCUUUAUGCGAGUUUGAAACAAGUGUCUCUCUCUCUCCCCUUAAAAGUCAAUGGAUUUGAAUAAAACAGUACACAUUCUUAUAAUUAUAUUUUUAUAUGCAA